rnacentral:tRNA from 1 species
GCGCUCGUAGCUCAGCGGAUAGAGCACUGGCCUCCGGAGCCAGGUGUCGCGCGUUCAAAUCGCGCCGAGCGCG